AUGGCUGGCAGUAAGGUGGGAAAGGACUCCAGAAAGGCCAAGACAAAGGCGGUUUCCCGCUCGCAGAGCCGGCUUGCAGUUCCCAGUGGGCCAUAUUCAUCGACACCUGAAAUGUAGGACGGCCAGUCAUGGACGUGUGGGCGCGACUGCCGCUGUGUACAACACAGCCAUCCUGGAGUACCUCGCUGCAGAGGGACUUGAACUGGCAGGAAAUGCAUCAAAAGACUUAAAGGUGCUUAAAGGUAAAGCGUGUCACCCCUUGUCACUUGCAACUUGCUAUUCCUGGAGAUGAAGAACUGGAGUCUCUUGUCAAGGCUACAAUUGCUGGUGGUGGUGUCACUGCACACACCCACAAAUCUCUGACUGGGAAGAAGGGACAACAGCGGACUGUCUAA
rnacentral:lncRNA from 10 species